rnacentral:rRNA from 1 species
GAUGAACGCUGGCGGCGUGCCUAAUACAUGCAAGUCGAACGAAAAGAGGAGCUUGCUUCUCUUUUAGUGGCGAACGGGUGAGUAAUACAUAAGCAACCUACCUAUUUGACCGGGAUAACAGUUGGAAACGACUGCUACUACCGGAUAGGUGCGCGGGGGACAUCCCCUGCACAUUAAAGCUGGGACACAGCACGAAUGGAUGGGCUUAUGGCGCAUUAGUUAGUUGGCGGGGGAACGGCCCACCAAGACGAUGAUGCGUAGCCGACCUGAGAGGGUGACCGGCCACACUGGGACUGAGACACGGCCCAGACUCCUACGGGAGGCAGCAGUAGGGAAUUUUCGGCAAUGGGCGCAAGCCUGACCGAGCAACGCCGCGUGAGUGAAGAAGGCCUUCGGGUUGUAAAGCUCUGUUGUAAGGGAAGAAUGGCCAAGAGAGGGAAUGCUCUUGGAGUGACGGUACCUUACCAGAAAGCCACGGCUAACUACGUGCCAGCCGCCGCGGUAACAC